rnacentral:pre_miRNA from 1 species
UUGAGUCGCCAGAUCCAACGAGCUCGGGUGAGAUCGGCCGAGCUCGAUCUCACCCGAGCUCGCCGGAUCUGGCCACCAGG